rnacentral:rRNA from 1 species
ACAUGCUUACAACAUAGCGUUAAUGCAUCGGAUCCCAUUAUAACUCUGCAGUUAAGCAUGCUCGAGCUAGAGUAGUACUGGGAUGGGUGAAUUCCUCGGAAGUCCUAGUAUUUUACAUGCC